AGCACGCUCCUUAGAUCCGUUUCAUUUUCAAUGUGAAACGCUUGAGUCAUAAGUGUGCAAGAUUAUAAUACCUCCACAUGGAGACUGAGAUGUUGUUUUCUAAUGAAAGCGACUUGUCUUGAUGUGGGGAACAU